UGGGGAAUUUUGGACAAUGGGCGAAAGCCUGAUCCAGCAAUGCCGCGUGAGUGAAGAAGGCCUUCGGGUUGUAAAGCUCUUUUGUCAGGGAAGAAACGGUGAAAGCUAAUAUCUUUUGCUAAUGACGGUACCUGAAGAAUAAGCACCGGCUAACUACGUGCCAGCAGCCGCGGUAAUACGUAGGGUGCAAGCGUUAAUCGGAAUUACUGGGCGUAAAGCGUGCGCAGGCGGUUUUGUAAGUCUGAUGUGAAAUCCCCGGGCUCAACCUGGGAAUUGCAUUGGAGACUGCAAGGCUAGAAUCUGGCAGAGGGGGGUAGAAUUCCACGUGUAGCAGUGAAAUGCGUAGAUAUGUGGAGGAACACCGAUGGCGAAGGCAGCCCCCUGGGUCAAGAUUGACGCUCAUGCACGAAAGCGUGGGGAGCAAACAGG
rnacentral:rRNA from 1 species